CUUCAGUUUUGUUUUAAAAAGGUGAGGUUUUGUUUUGUCUGAGAAAAUCUCGCUGUUUUAGAUUGAGG
ensembl:miRNA MIR553 microRNA 553